rnacentral:lncRNA from 1 species
UUUUGAAGCUUGGUUGGUGAUCAGCUGAGAAUCUGAAUGGAUUGCAAGUUUCUUCACCGCUAAGUCUUUCGCUAGCAAGGGCCGCUAAUAAAGCCUUGUCUUCUGUUCCAUCGUUGGAUGCUUUGAAGUGUUGAGUGUCAUGGGCUUGGUAGGCCAGAGCGGGUUGGGUCACUUGAGCGGGUCGAAUCACUAAUGUAGGUUACCCCGCUU